rnacentral:rRNA from 1 species
CCUACGGGAGGCAGCAGUGGGGAAUAUUGGGCAAUGGGCGCAAGCCUGACCCAGCAACGCCGCGUGAAGGAAGAAGGCUUUCGGGUUGUAAACUUCUUUUAAGAGGGAAGAGCAGAAGACGGUACCUCUUGAAUAAGCCCCGGCUACCUACGUGCCAGCAGCCGCGGUAAUACGUAGGUGGCAAACGUUGUCCGGAUUUACUUGGUGGAAAGGGCGUGUAGCCGGGCUGGCAAGUCAGAUGUGAAAUUCCGGGGCUCAACCCCGGACCUGCAUUUGAAACCGUUGGUCUUUUGGAGCGGAGAGGCAGGCGGAAUUCCUAGUGUAGCGGUGAAAGGCGUAGAUAGUAGGAGGAACACCAGUGGCGAAGGCGGCCUGCUGGACGACAACUGACGGUGAGGCGCGAAAGCGUGGGGAGCAAACAGGAUUAGAUACCCUAGUAGUC